rnacentral:rRNA from 1 species
UACGUAGGUGGCAAGCGUUGUCCGGAAUUAUUGGGCGUAAAGCGCGCGCAGGCGGUCCUUUAAGUCUGAUGUGAAAGCCCACGGCUCAACCGGGGAGGGUCACUCGAUACUGAUCGACUUGAAGGCGGGAGAGGGAAGCGGAAUUCCCGGUGUAGUGGUGAAAUGCGUAGAUAUCGGGAGGAACACCAGUGGCGAAGGCGGCUUUCUGGCCCGUUCUUGACGCUGAGGCGCGAAAGCUAGGGUAGCAAACGGG